GGCGGCGUGCCUAAUACAUGCAAGUCGAACGAGAGCGACCGGUGCUUGCACUGGUCAAUCUAGUGGCGAACGGGUGAGUAACACGUGGGUAACCUGCCCAUCAGAGGGGGAUAACAUUCGGAAACGGAUGCUAAAACCGCAUAGGUUCUUUAGUCGCAUGACUGAAGAAGGAAAAAGAGGCUUCGGCUUCUGCUGAUGGAUGGACCCGCGGUGCAUUAGCUAGUUGGUGAGGUAACGGCUCACCAAGGCGAUGAUGCAUAGCCGACCUGAGAGGGUGAUCGGCCACAUUGGGACUGAGACACGGCCCAAACUCCUACGGGAGGCAGCAGUAGGGAAUCUUCCGCAAUGGACGCAAGUCUGACGGAGCAACGCCGCGUGAGUGAAGAAGGAUUUCGGUUCGUAAAACUCUGUUGUUAGAGAAGAACAGCGCAUAGAGUAACUGUUAUGCGUGUGACGGUAUCUAACCAGAAAGCCACGGCUAACUACGUG
rnacentral:rRNA from 1 species